UACCAGCUCUCCGAGUGGUGUGGAUGUUUAUUGGGCCUAAAGCAUCCGUAGCUGGCUGGACAAGUCCCCUGUUAAAUCCACCGAUUUAAUCGUUGGUGUGCGGGGGAUACUGUUCGGCUAGGGGACGGGAGAGGCAGACGGUAUUUUCGGGGUAGGGGUGAAAUCCUAUAAUCCCGGGAAGACCACCAGUGGCGAAGGCUGUCUGCUAGAACGCGCCCGACGGUGAGGGAUGAAAGCUGGGGGAGCGAACCGGAUUAGAUACCCGGGUAGUCCCAGCUGUAAACGAUGCAGGCUAGGUGUUUGGACGGCCACGUGCCGUUCUAGUGCCGCAGGGAAGCCGUUAAGCCUGCCGCCUGGGGAGUACGGCCGCAAGGCUGAAACUUAAGGAAUUGGCGGGGAGCACCACAAGGGGUGAAGCUUGCGGUUU
rnacentral:rRNA from 1 species